rnacentral:rRNA from 1 species
CAGUCGCCACGGGAAUACGUAGGGUGCAAGCGUUAAUCGGAAUUACUGGCGUAAAGCGUGCGCAGGCGGUUUGUUAAGAUAGAUGUGAAAUCCCCGGGCUUAACCUGGGAACUGCAUUUGUGACUGGCAAGCUAGAGUAUGGCAGAGGGGGGUGGAAUUCCGCGUGUAGCAGUGAAAUGCGUAGAUAUGCGGAGGAACACCGAUGGCGAAGGCAGCCCCCUGGGCCAAUACUGACGCUCAUGCACGAAAGCGUGGGGAGCAAACAGGAUUAGAUACCCCUGUAGUCCCUGUCUCUUAUACA